AGUCAGUCUUCGGAGGACAGCGGGGAAGCUCCACCGCCGGGACAGAGUUCACCUUCCCCAGUGGAAUCAAGAGUUUGAAAGGACGGACUUUUCCCCGAAGAAGCCUGUGGUCCCUCUGAUUAAGUGGUUCUCAACAGUUCAACAGUUCUUUGAGAAAAUUGUGAAAUGUUUAGGACCACUUGACCAGUCAGACAAAUGCUACCAGCUCGGGAAAACGUUCUUCAACGAGGAGAGCACCUCGCCGGAGGCCGACUACCUGAACGAUUGUGAAAAAGAAAAACGAAGGCCGUGUGAUUUCCUCUGUUUACCCGACGUCUCUCUCCGCCGUGGCCCCUCGAGUCACGUCGCCAACAGCGGCCCAGGAACCGCUGUGGGGGGGGGGGGGGAGGAGGGCACGCGGUGCCCAAUUUGAAACAGCCGCUUGCUUCUUGCCGCUGUGCUGGUGUCACUAUUCAGGCGAACUGAUUAAAACGAAUCAAUAAAGAAUCACUUGCU